ensembl:snoRNA SNORD58 Small nucleolar RNA SNORD58
CUGCAAUGAUGACCAUCUUAGGACACCUUUCGAUUAAUAAUGAAAACAACCAAGAUGAACUUAGUCUGAGCUGC